rnacentral:rRNA from 1 species
GAAGCGCUUUUGCGGAUUUCUUCGGAUUGAAGCAAUUGUGACUGAGCGGCGGACGGGUGAGUAACGCGUGGGUAACCUGCCUCAUACAGGGGGAUAACAGUUGGAAACGGCUGCUAAUACCGCAUAAGCGCACAGUACCGCAUGGUACCGUGUGAAAAACUCCGGUGGUACGAGAUGGACCCGCGUCUGAUUAGCUAGUUGGUGGGGUAACGGCCUACCAAGGCGACGAUCAGUAGCCGACCUGAGAGGGUGACCGGCCACAUUGGGACUGAGACACGGCCCAAACUCCUACGGGAGGCAGCAGUGGGGAAUAUUGCACAAUGGGGGAAACCCUGAUGCAGCGACGCCGCGUGAGCGAUGAAGUAUUUCGGUAUGUAAAGCUCUAUCAGCAGGGAAGAAAAUGACGGUACCUGACUAAGAAGCCCCGGCUAACUACGUGCCAGCAGCCGCGGUAAUACGUAGGGGGCAAGCGUUAUCCGGAUUUACUGGGUGUAAAGGGAGCGUAGACGGCAUGGCAAGCCAGAUGUGAAAGCCCGGGGCUCAACCCCGGGACUGCAUUUGGAACUGUCAGGCUAGAGUGUCGGAGAGGAAAGCGGAAUUCCUAGUGUAGCGGUGAAAUGCGUAGAUAUUAGGAGGAACACCAGUGGCCGAAGGCGGCUUUCUGGAC